rnacentral:rRNA from 1 species
GGCUCAUCGCAUCCUGGGGCUGGAGCAGGUCCCAAGGGUUUGGCUGUUCGCCAAUUAAAGCGGUACGUGAGCUGGGUUUAGAACGUCGUGAGACAGUUCGGUCCCUAUCUGCCGUGGGUGUAGGAGACUUGAGAGGAGCUGCCCCUAGUACGAGAGGACCGGGGUGGACGUACCUCUGGUGGACCUGUUGUCGCGCCAGCGGCAUAGCAGGGUAGCUAUGUACGGAAAGGAUAACCGCUGAAAGCAUCUAAGCGGGAAGCCCCCCUCGAAACCAGUUCUCCCUUGAGAGCCGUGGAAGACCACCACGUUGAUAGGCUGGGUGUGGAAGUGCAGCAAUGUAUGAAGCUUACCAGUACUAAUAGCUCGAUUGAACUUUAUCGCCCUCAUUU